UACGUAGGCAGCAAGCGUUGUUCGGAGUUACUGGGCGUAAAGGGUGCGUAGGCGGUUGUUUAAGUUUGGUGUGAAAUCUCCCGGCUCAACUGGGAGGGUGCGCCGAAUACUGAAUGACUCGAGUGCGGGAGAGGAGAGUGGAAUUCCUGGUGUAGCGGUGAGAUGCGUAGAUAUCAGGAGGAACACCGGUGGUGUAGACGGCUCUCUGGACCGUAACUGACGCUGAGGCACGAAAGCGUGGGUAGCAAACAGG
rnacentral:rRNA from 1 species